UCUUUCGGCUGGGAGUCGAACCCGGUCAACUGUUUGAGAAACAGCUGUUCUGACUGUUGAACUACCUGACG